GGGAGGCGGGGGAGGAGAGGAAGGGUAGGGAGAAAGGUAAGGUGCAAAGAAAAACACAUAGAAAUAAACACAUAGAAGUAGAGAGAGAGCCUAACCCACCUGCCACGAACUCCAAGGAGGAAAUAGCUCUGCUGCUCUGCCCCCGCCAUUUAAAUACCCGCGCAUGAGCUCUGGUGCCCCGCGCACCUGUGCAGGCCCCAGCCCCCAGAGCCCCACCCGGCCCGCGCCCUUUAAGAGCGGCCGAGCGAGGCCGGGUCUACUUCAUACAGGAAUGCUUUUUCUGGGAUGCAAUGGGAUCCUCCCUCGGAGCGCUGCGCGAGCCCAACCCAGGGGCUGCUCCCGGUGCUACGCGGAGCCCAGGGUGCUUAGGGAGCCGGGCCUCUGCCGGUAACUGUGCCCGAGAGAAUGGCGGCGGAAUCUCCUCGUGCGGACGCUGGAUUGCCACUGGAACUGGCUGGGACACCGGGACUGCCGUGCCAGCCCUGGCGCCCUGAAUCCCGCCGCUCCCAUCCCACAGUACCGCCUACACCCCGCGGGUGUGCGGAGCCCCCGCAGCCCCCAGCGGAGAGCAGUGCCGGGCUCCCCUUCCCCGGGUCCACACAGCCGCGGGGCUCCCGCCCGCCGCACCCGUGUGGAACGAGCGGAGCACGGCAGGAGCCGCUCGGCUGGGCACGGUUCCACUCGGGCUGCUUCUUCAGCACCGCCGGGUCACAGGAUAUAUUGGGGUCCAACCGACUCUGGGUCAUGGGCAUGCACCUCCCGAGCAUGGGAAUCCUUGGAACCAGCAAGGGAAGCGCAGCUCCUUCUUUACUGCUAAAGCUGCUUAACACAAGCCCCUGCUAUGGCUGUUAGAACUGGCUGGCAGCCAACAUAACAGCACCAAUAACCCUUAUUUUCUUGUCUUUUCCAGGAUUUAUCCAGUAGCUGUAAAUUUGGUCUUGCAAUGUUGUUUUGUAGGGAGAAAUGAGCAGGAUGAGUCCUGAGGCUUACCUUGCUGCAUGACUAAAAUUCUUCUGGAGAGAGACAGGGGGUGUUUGCUGCAGGUAAGUGUUGCUAAAAUGAUGGCAGCUGCUGAAGCUGGGGCUGCUUUUGUGACCCAGAGCUGCACAGAGGUCUCUCAGUGUCUCCUGCUUGCUGCCAGCAAGGCUCCUUAGUGUUUCUGUAUGUCCCAGCUGGCAGGGAAUGUGGGGUAGGAGGAGGCCGGGAGCCCCUGAAGGGCAACAAGCACCUCUUGUCCUUGGGCUCUGCGGUGUCCUGCCUGUGCCAAACACACCCCAGGGAUGGGCGCUGGGGUGCCCAGCCAGUGCUGGCACGGACACAGCUCAAGGGCUGCCUGCGGCUGCUGGGCCAGGGGCUGCUCUGAACAUGCACCUGGAGAUGCUUCAGCCUGGACAGAAGCCAGGGACACCCUAAGAACACCCCAAGGAACAGCUGGAAUUCCCUGGUGAUGGCAGCACAGGCUACAUGCAGAGGGGCUCAGGCAGCAAUUCCUGGUUCUGACUUUCCAGAGCUCUCACGCAACUGCCAGGUAUGUCCUGGCCACCCCAAAUCCCUUCCCUUCCAGCCUGAGGCCAUCACCCAGCAGCAGCAUUAAAGCCAAGGUAAUCUUCCC